rnacentral:lncRNA from 12 species
AUGGGAAUGGGAUCAGGGAUUUGGGAUCAGGAUCAGGGAUUGGUAUUGGGGUUAGGGAUUAGAAAUGGGAAUGGGAUCAAGGAUUGGGAUCAGGGAUUGGGAUCAGGGAUUUGGGAUCAGGGAUUAGGAUCAGGAUCAGGGAUUGGGAUCAGGGAUUUGGGAUCAGGGAUUAGGAUCAGGGAUUGGGAUUGGGAUCAGGGAUUGGUAUUUGGGUUAGGGAUUAGAAAUGGGAAUGGGAUCAAGGAUUGGGAUCAGGGAUUGGGAUCAGGGAUUUGGGAUAAGAGACUGGGAUCAGGGACUGGUAUUGGGGUUAGGGAUUGGGAUCAGGGAUUUGGGAUCAGGGAAUGGUUUGGGAUGGAAAAACCCCAAAGAUCCCAAAAAAUCCAUGGGCAGGGACGUCUCCCAACUUCCCAGAAAUCCCAGUAAUUCACAGUGAAUCCCAGUCCCUCCCAGUGAAUCCCAGUCCCUCCCAGUCACUCCCAGUAACCCCCAGUCCCUCUCUCACUGGUCCUCAGUCUCGAAUGUCCCUCCCCUGGGCGCCUCCCCCUGGAUGGACUCCACGGCCGUGCUGUAGAGCGCUGUCCCAGUGACCCCCAGUCACUCCCAGUGACCCCCAGUGAAUCCCAGUGAAUCCCAGUGAAUCCCAGUCCCUCCCAGUCCCUCCCAGUCCCUCUCUCACUGGUCCUCAGUCUCGAAGGUCCCCCCUCUGGGCGCCUCCCCCCCCCCCCCCCCCCCCCCCCCCCCCCCCCCCCCCCCCCCCCCCCCCCCCC